AGGCAGAGAUCAACAGAUUCUUGAUCAGUGUGGGUGUCAGGAGUCAUGGGGAGAAGGCAGGAGAAUGGGGUUAGGAGGGAGAGAUAGA